AUUGAACGCUGGCGGCAGGCUUAACACAUGCAAGUCGAGCGAGCGGCGGAUGGGUGAGUAAUGAAUGGGGCUCCGCCCGGUAGUGGGGGUUAACAACUGGAAACGGUGGCUAAUAUCGCAUAGUAUGGGAUGAACUCCUAUGGGAUUAGCUGGUAGGUGGGGUACAGGCCCACCUAGGCCACGAACUCGAGCUGGUCUGGAAGGAUGAUCGGCCACACUGGAACUGGGACGCGGCCCAGGCUCCUACGGUAGGCAGCAGUGGGGAAGAUUAGACAGUGGGGGGAAGCCUGAUGCAGCCGUGCCGCUUGUAUGAAGAAGGCCUUGGGGUUGUAAAGAACUUUCAGCGGGGAGGCGGUACCCGCAGAAGAAGCACCGGCUAACUCCGUGCCAGCAGCCGCGGUAAUAC
rnacentral:rRNA from 1 species